AGAGCGAACGCUGGCGGCAGGCUUAACACAUGCAAGUCGAGCGGGCGUAGCAAUACGUCAGCGGCAGACGGGUGAGUAACGCGUGGGAACGUACCUUUUGGUUCGGAACAACCCAGGGAAACUUGGGCUAAUACCGGAUAAGCCCUUACGGGGAAAGAUUUAUCGCCGAAAGAUCGGCCCGCGUCUGAUUAGCUAGUUGGUGAGGUAAUGGCUCACCAAGGCGACGAUCAGUAGCUGGUCUGAGAGGAUGAUCAGCCACAUUGGGACUGAGACACGGCCCAAACUCCUACGGGAGGCAGCAGUGGGGAAUAUUGGACAAUGGGCGCAAGCCUGGAUCCAGCCAUGCCGCGUGAGUGAUGAAGGCCCUAGGGUUGUAAAGCUCUUUGUGCGGAAGAUAAUGACGGUACCGCAAGAAUAAGCCCCGGCUAACUUCGUGCCAGCAGCCGC
rnacentral:rRNA from 1 species